CCUGGGGCCACUCGGCUCCCAGUCCUUGGGCUGGGCAGAGAAAUGAAAUACGGGUGCUCUGCACAGCAGUGAAGACAGGGCAGAUGGCGUUUCUGGAGUCAGUUGCUCAUACCGGGGUCAGGCAUCAGGGUUAGGGACAUAUAGGGUGUUUGUUUUCCAGACCCAAGGCUCAGAGAGAGGCCUGUGGGUCCCUGUGUCCCUGUGCAUUUAUCUUCAGGAGUUCCAGGAUGGGAUCCCCACCUUACCAAAUGCACUGGGGCCAGAAUUCUGGGAGUCAGAGACCCGGGCCCGAGGAAGACCCGCAGCAGUCUCGGGCUUGGGGCGCUCACAGAUGUGGGGGUAUUAGCUCACGACACUUGAUGCCAAGGAAACUCGCAGGUACCCACUCCUCCAAGGACACACUUGGGGAGGAGGAGGACCCGCAGGGCGCAAGUGCACCUGCGGCCCCUGAGAGCCUGCCCUGGCUGGCCCCACCCCGCCCCCACUCCUCCCAGUGGUUUCUCAGGCUGUUUUUGGAAGUGGCGGCGCUUACUAGUGAGCCUCGCCCGCCCCUCCUUCAGCACCACAGACAGGACCGAGGCGCCCCGCCCGGAAUCCGAUGCUUCGAGCUUCUGGGCUGCGAGACGGUUGCUAUGGAAACGAGGCAACAAAGGGAGGC
rnacentral:lncRNA from 1 species